GCAGGCGCCGCCGCCGCCCGGGAGCUGACUUUUGGAGGGUUGAGUUGCAGGCGGCGGGCGCAUCCCAGAGAUGGCGGGGCAGGGAGGGAGGGAAAGAGAGGAGGGGGUGGAGAGGGAGGUGCAGCUUUGCACGGAUGGCCUCAGCGGGAGGCACGGAAAUGCUAGCCGAGCCUGCUGGCUUGAAAGCCCCCGGGGCCUGGCACCCCCCAAAACGACCCCCCACCUCUGCCCCUGCCCCCUUUCUCGGAUUACCCACGGCUCCCCUUUCUUCCUGAGUCUACCUCACCUUAUUACCUGUGCUGGCGACCUAAAUUCAAAGUAUUUUCCUCAGUUGAAGAGCCUGAAAUAAGAAGUUGGGCAAGAAAAGAAAAAAGUCUCUACACUCGCUGAGAAGAGAUAAAUCGAUAUACAGGAGGGAAAUAGAGAAUCCGAGUUAGCGUCUGUAAUGCAACUCACAUGUAGGAGAAAGUCCUCAGUCUCUUGUGGAUUGAAGUCAAAAAGGAAAAACAAAACUGUACAAAGACUCAGGCCUGAUCCUUGGGGGAAAGUUUAAUGUUCUCUAUAGAAUCCUGCUUUACGUCCUGUUUCCCUUUCUGUGUACGGAUGGGAAGAACCCUCGAGGCCACAGAUGAAGCAAAGACAGAAGAGCCUCAGAAAGUCCGCCCACCUCCAGGUGCUGACUUUGGUCCAACCCUGGAGGCAGAUCUCUUCUAUCAAAGGAACGUCAGGGAAGACGUCCUGGAGGAAAGUUUUGAACUUUUAAAGACAAGGAAUCAGCUGACCUCGCUGAGUAGGCGGCCAGGGGAGAAGUUUGAUUCACUUUUUGUGCUGUCAGAACAGAGCCAUGGAGACAUUUCCAUUAAUCUUGUAAAGUGAUCAGUCACUGGAAGGAUUGAAUUGCAUUUCCUGCCCAGAGAUGUGGAGACAGAUGACCUUUGCAGCAGCCCUCAGACCCCCAGUUCACAGCUGGAGAGGGCAUGUGUCAGCAUUUUCUUUCCAGUCUCACCCAGCCCUUUGUUCAGAACUCAAACCCUUUGUGCUCAGGCUGCUGGGGGAUUUUGCAGUGGUUGAUACAGGUUUUUUUUUUUUUUUCCCUAACCUCCCACUUCUUACAGCUUCUGAGAAGCAAACUCUAUUUGGCAGAAGAUGGUAUCUAAGAGCUGCCCCAGAGGGAGAACCAGAAUAGACGUGGGGAAUUUUGUGAAGCCACUUGCCCUUUAGGCAAUAACCAUUGUCCCUUCCUAGGUUUCCUGAACAGUCCAGGCGGAACUGGAGGGAGCCACAAGUCCAGCAAAUUCAUAAUGCCUCGUGUCUAAGUGGCUCUAUUAAAAAAGAAAGAGAGAAAGCAAGGAAACAAAGCUUUUCUGUGUCUUAUUUCAAUUCGAAGGCAAGGCUAGAACGAAAAAGCAUUUACAUAAAGGAACACUGUAACCCUCAAGAUACAAGGUGCCGGCCAGUCUGUUUGCUCACCUGUACAAUGGAAGCUGUAGAAACACUUGUCUCAUGGGUACUGUUUGAGCCAGGGUUAGAAAGGGGUUCAUCCAAUGAUGCUAUUCAAAUGAAACUGACGUUCUGGGUACCACAACCCUACCAUUUUGGUUUCUUCCAAGUUUAAGGUUCAAGAGGAGAGUCACCUGUAAAGGAUGGAGUGGCUAUUUCCGCAGCCAUAGCCCCUCUUAGCCUGACCUCGUUGCUCUAUGUAUUUUGAGUCCUUUGACUAAACAUUCUUGUCUCCUGCAGGCCUUUACACCUGCUGGUUCCUCCCCUCUGCAUUUUAUCCUGCUAGCCUCUGCCUCUCUAACAUUUGGCUACUAGAAUCUGCUUGGGUAUCUUAUUUGCUGCCACCUUCUAGUGCUAAGCACAUUAUGUUGUCCUGAGGUUUCUCUAGCAGAUAGCAAAAUGCAAGGAUACUCAAGUCCUAUAAUGGUGGUGUUGCCUUAGAACUCCCAUCCUCCAGGUAUUAUUUGAAUUAUUUCAAGAUUAUUUUGAAUGCCUAAUACUUAAUUGCUGUGUAAAUAGUUGUUACAAUAUAGUUGUGUUUAGGGAAUAAUGACCUGGCAGAAAAGAUGUGGUAGAGGAGAAAAAAUUUUUUUUGAAAACCCUAUUAUGAAUUUUUUUUGUUCUCCCGGUGAAGGCGUAAGUCACAAACAA